rnacentral:rRNA from 1 species
GAAUUCGCCCUUAGAGUUUGAUCCUGGCUCAGGAUGAACGCUGGCGGCGUGCCUAACACAUGCAAGUCGAACGAAGCACAUUGGAUUGAUUCUUCGGAAGAAAGAGAAUGUGACUGAGUGGCGGACGGGUGAGUAACGCGUGGGUAACCUGCCUCAUACAGGGGGAUAACAGUUAGAAAUGACUGCUAAUACCGCAUAAGACCACGGAGUCGCAUGACUCAGUGGGAAAAACUCCGGUGGUAUGAGAUGGACCCGCGUCUGAUUAGGUAGUUGGUGGGGUAACGGCCUACCAAGCCGACGAUCAGUAGCCGACCUGAGAGGGUGACCGGCCACAUUGGGACUGAGACACGGCCCAAACUCCUACGGGAGGCAGCAGUGGGGAAUAUUGCACAAUGGGGGAAACCCUGAUGCAGCGACGCCGCGUGAGCGAAGAAGUAUUUCGGUAUGUAAAGCUCUAUCAGCAGGGAAGAAAAUGACGGUACCUGACUAAGAAGCACCGGCUAAAUACGUGCCAGCAGCCGCGGUAAUACGUAUGGUGCAAGCGUUAUCCGGAUUUACUGGGUGUAAAGGGAGCGUAGACGGCCGUGUAAGUCUGAAGUGAAAGCCCGGGGCUCAACCCCGGGACUGCUUUGGAAACUAUGCAGCUAGAGUGUCGGAGAGGUAAGUGGAAUUCCCAGUGUAGCGGUGAAAUGCGUAGAUAUUGGGAGGAACACCAGUGGCGAAGGCGGCUUACUGGACGAUGACUGACGUUGAGGCUCGAAAGCGUGGGGAGCAAACAGGCUUAGAUACCCUGGUAGUCCACGCCGUAAACGAUGACUACUAGGUGUCGGGUGUCCCAAACAUUCGGUGGCCGCAGCAAACGCAAU